CCAGAACUCCUACGGGAGGCAGCAGUGAGGAAUAUUGGUCAAUGGGUGAGAGCCUGAACCAGCCAAGUCGCGUGAAGGACGACGGUUCUAUGGAUUGUAAACUUCUUUUGUAGAGGAAUAAUGGCAGCUACGUGUAGCUGAGAUGCAUGUACUCUACGAAUAAGUAUCGGCUAACUCCGUGCCAGCAGCCGCGGUAAUACGGAGGAUACGAGCGUUAUCCGGAAUUAUUGGGUUUAAAGGGUGCGUAGGUGGCGUAUUAAGUCAGUGGUGAAAAGCUGCAGCUCAACUGUAGUCUUGCCGUUGAAACUGAUAUGCUAGAGAGGAGACGAGGUAUGCGGAAUGUGUGGUGUAGCGGUGAAGUGCAUAGAUAUCACACAGAACGCCGAUUGCGAAGGCAGCGUACCAGGCUCCGUCUGACACUGAAGCACGAAAGCGUGGGGAUCAAACAGGAUUAGAUACCCUGGUAGUCCACGCAGUAAACGAUGAAUACUAGAUUUUUGCGAUAUAGUGUAAGAGUCUAAGCGAAAGCGAUAAGUAUUCCACCUGGGGAGUACGCCGGCAACGGUGAAACUCAAAGGAAUUGACGGGGCCCGCACAAG
rnacentral:rRNA from 1 species